rnacentral:lncRNA from 1 species
GCCAAAUGGCGUACAAUGGCUUGAAGCAUCUUUCCCGACCACCGUUGGAGGGAUUCGAUAGUGCUCACCUUGUGCUCCACCGUUGCAAGCCGAUUUCUCGUGAUCACCAACUCUCGCUCCAUUCUUCGUUGAAAUCGUCGGUCCGAACUUGUGCUUGGACCCUCGGGUGGAGCUAUUGGUUGGUUCUCGACGGGUUGCUCGCCAUCUUGG